rnacentral:hammerhead_ribozyme from 1 species
AUCCAUCUGACGAGUCCCAAAUAGGACAAAACGCGUGUCCUGGAU